UUCACACUGUGAGUGUGUGUUUUCAUUUGGCUUUUCAUUGUCCAGGUUUGCUGACUUGGAACAGCAGGGAAUACUUUUUAUACACUUUCCUGAAGCGUGAUGUGAGAGUGUAGAAAUAUUUUACUUCUCCUAUGAGAAAAGCUGGAAUAACAGAAGAAUUUUUGCUGUGAUGUCCUCCAGUCGUCCUCUGCUGAAAUCUAAGCAAUCGUGCUGAGGUGCAGAAGACAAAAGAAAGAAAAAAAAACCAAAAAACAACAACAUUGAUACAUUAUUCAUUAUUCAUGCCAGAGAAAGAGAGAGGCGCUGAUGGAGAAACUAAGUAAACAGACUGUCAAGGAGAGGAGACAAGGCUUCUCCUUCAAGAGGAUGUUCCAGCUGCAGUACCCUGCAGGUGGCGAUUUGCUGAGACUCUGAAUAACUUCUCACACCAAAGAAGAGUGGCAGUAUUUCCUUGUUAUCUAUGUUGGCAGAAUAGCACAGCACUGAACUGAUAUUUUUUGAGAAGAGAGCUAUCCACAGAGAUGUACUGCAAAGAAUCUCAGUAAAAUAUUCUUCAUUUCUCACCUGGAAUAUGAAUGGACUUUGAAACUUCAAGGUCACUGCACAUACCCGUCUCGUGAUUCAGA
rnacentral:lncRNA from 1 species